UUUUCUAUACUAGGCAUCUAGAAAAUAACGCUGCAGCUUAAACAAGUUUAAAGCACCGAUUCGGUCCAAGCCACCCGUUCUGCAUUCAGAGAAACUGGUGCCACCAGAGGCCAUGACUUGCCCAAGGCCACGGAGCAAGAAAUUUCUGGAGCAUCUCGUCAGGAAUGGAACCCCUCCUCUCAAGAGAGCCUGUUGCUAAGCCGUUUGCAGCUCAGCACCGGCUGGAGGCCACAGCUUUUACUGGUGUCUCAGAAGGGUCCUAGCUCAGAAAGUUUCAGAGCCUUGCAAGGCUCCUCCAUUGUCUUUGGACCUGUGACAGAUCUGGCCAUGUCUGACUCUAAUGCCAAAGAAAUCCCUUCCAUGAAGCCAAGAGUGAGCUUCUCUUUCUGCCCUGCCAUGAUGACUUCCUGUCCAGGGCAAGAAACUGUCCUGGCUGUCCCUUGGGGGCAGAGAUGAACAGGCCUUCUGGCCAGCUGGUCACCCUGCCUUGUGUUCUGACACCGUGAUCAAGUCCAUAAAUAUUUUCCAAGCACCUCACUGAAAAACGAGCCUGUUUUUUCAGCUGUAAAAUGGGAUUCAGUCAACUGACAGCGUUCAUUCAUCCAGCCGUCCACCCACUCUGCUGGUGGCCCCUGUGUGCUAGGGGUUGUCUUAGAAAGAUAUCAGAAGCAGGAUUCUUGCUUGCAGUCCUGGCUCUGUGACCUUGGGCUGGCUUCCUACGCGACCUCAGGCCUUGGUCUCCCUGUGCCUACAACGACACAUCUGCAAGGAUCCUUCCAGUGUCUCUCAUCUCAUUCCGGAGGGGUGUUGGAGGAUCCCAGAGGAGACUACUUGUGAAAGCACUCUGGGAACUGGGAGUGAAGGCCACUGGGACAGCUCACCUUGCUGGGAACACAGAGAUCAGCAGUGGUUCGUGCCCUGGAGGCAAAACACGCCCGGUGAUUCACAGCAGCGGUCUCCACUCCUGGUAGCCGGAAUGAAGCACACUGUGGACAUUGCAGAGUUCAGCGAACAGGGAGGUGUGGGAUACUCAGGGAAGACUUCCCGAUGGGGUCAUCACACAGCAGCAGCUCAAAUGUGAGGUGCGCGUAUCAUGUGCCACAUUCUGUGCUAAGCACAUGCUUUAUCUCGUUUAAUCCUGACAGCAAACUUGGGAACUGAUACGAUACCCAUUUUGUGGAUGAGGAAGCCAAAGCCCAGAGAGGGGAAGUGACUUGAGCAAGGUCAUUCAUUCAUUCAAAAAUAUUUACUGAUCCCCAGUUGUGUUCCUGGUGCCGUGCUGUUUGCUAUGGAUAUAGCAAUGAACAAACCAAAUACCUCUGCCUCGGUGGAGCUUACAUUCGGGAGCAGCGCCGUCCCAUAGAACUUCCUGUGGAGGGGCUGCUGGGUGGAUGGAAAUGUUUGAUAUCUGCUCUGUCCAAUAUACUAGCCACAAGCCAUGUGUGGCUAUUGAGCACUGGAUAUGUGGCCAGUGCAG